CAGACAGAAAAUGGGCCUUGAAUUGUGUUCUGAGCCAAUGGAUUUUUCUAGAAUCUAAAGUGCAAUGGAAAAUUACUGAAGUGAUCUACACGAAGAGUAAACAUUUUUUCUGUUGGAUGCUGGAGGUGCCUCUUAUAAGUGGCUAAGUUGCAAUAUGUGGUGUCAUCAAAUGCUCUGCAAAAAGUUCAAGUUGAGACUGGAGCUGAACAAGGAUUAGGUCAGCUGUAUAUUUCGUGGAACAGACCCAGCAUGUUCAUACAUGGCUUGGCUCACUUCAUCAUCUUUUGAGACAGAAAAUCAGCCUUCAACCGUCUGCUGAUUCAAUAGACUUUUCUAUAUAUCUCAAGUGCAAUGGAAAAUUGCAGACUUACAUAAAGAUUCGCUAAGAUUUCUGUUUGAAAUUUUCUACCGGAGGCUGGAAAUGCUUCUUAUAAGUGGCUAAGUUGCAAAAAAUUGUAGGAUUGAAGGCUCUGCAGACUGCACAGAGGUAAGAAGUCAUCGUCAUCAAGUAACUCCUAAAUGGCUGCAUCUUAGAAGAAUGACACUGAAUCUGACUCCUAAAUGGCUGCAUCAUCUUCAAUCUAAAGAUUAGAAGUCACAUGAAAAAGUGUUGUAUUCUUUUGUCCUCUAUUGUAGUUUAUUUGGUGCUCUUUUGACUUUUAGAGGUGUUUUCAAAUUUGAGAAUCCAGUAAAUGCAUGCGUACAUAUAUUGAAAGUAUUCCAUAUGAUUUCUUCU